UUGGGCGUAAGAGCUCGUAGGCGGCUGGUCGCGUCUGUCGUGAAAUCCUCUGGCUUAACUGGGGGCUUGCGGUGGGUACGGGCCGGCUUGAGUGCGGUAGGGGAGACUGGAACUCCUGGUGUAGCGGUGGAAUGCGCAGAUAUCAGGAAGAACACCGGUGGCGAAGGCGGGUCUCUGGGCCGUUACUGACGCUGAGGAGCGAAAGCGUGGGGAGCGAACAGGAUUAGAUACCCUGGUAGUCCACGCCGUAAACGUUGGGCACUAGGUGUGGGGGGCCUUUUCCGGGUCUUCCGCGCCGUAGCUAACGCAUUAAGUGCCCCGCCUGGGGAGUACGGCCGCAAGGCUAAAACUCAAAGGAAUUGACGGGGGCCCGCACAAGCGGCGGAGCAUGCGGAUUAAUUCGAUGCAACGCGAAGAACCUUACCAAGGCUUGACAUGUGCCGGUCGGCUCCGGAGACGGGGUUUCCUCCUUGUGGGGCCGGUUCACAGGUGGUGCAUGGUUGUCGUCAGCUCGUGUCGUGAGAUGUUGGGUUAAGUCCCGCAACGAGCGCAACCCUUGUCCCGUGUUGCCAGCACGUUGUGGUGGGGACUCGCGGGAGACUGCCGGGGUCAACUCGGAGGAAGGUGGGGA
rnacentral:rRNA from 1 species